rnacentral:rRNA from 1 species
AACGAACGCUGGCGGCAUGCCUAACACAUGCAAGUCGAACGAGACCUUCGGGUCUAGUGGCGCACGGGUGCGUAACGCGUGGGAACCUGCCCUUAGGUUCGGAAUAACUCCCCGAAAGGGGUGCUAAUACCGGAUAAUGUCUUCGGACCAAAGAUUUAUUGCCUUUGGAUGGGCCCGCGUUGGAUUAGCUGGUUGGUACGGUAAAAGCCUACCAAGGCGACGAUCCAUAGCUGGUCUGUGAGGAUGAUCAGCCACACUGGGACUGAGACACGGCCCAGACUCCUACGGGAGGCAGCAGUGGGGAAUAUUGGACCAUGGGCGAAAGCCUGAUCCAGCAAUGCCGCGUGAGUGAUGAAGGCCUUAGGGUUGUAAAGCUCUUUUACCCGGGAUGAUAAUGACGGUACCGGGAGAAUAAGCUCCGGCUAACUCCGUG